UAGGGCAGCUUGCUUCAGCACUACGUCUAUUAAAUUGGAAAGAUAUAGAGAUUAGCCUGGCUCCUGUGCAAGGAUAACAUGAAAACUCAUGAUGCAUUCUAUAUUUUA
ensembl:snRNA U6 U6 spliceosomal RNA